CAGCAGCCACGGGAAUACAGAGGGUGCGAGCGUUAAUCGGAUUUACUGGGCGUAAAGCGUGCGUAGGCGGCUUCUUAAGUCGGAUGUGAAAUCCCUGAGCUUAACUUAGGAAUUGCAUUCGAUACUGGGAAGCUAGAGUAUGGGAGAGGAUGGUAGAAUUCCAGGUGUAGCGGUGAAAUGCGUAGAGAUCUGGAGGAAUACCGAUGGCGAAGGCAGCCAUCUGGCCUAAUACUGACGCUGAGAUACGAAAGCAUGGGGAGCAAACAGGAUUAGAUACCCGGGUAGUCCCUGUCUCUUAACA
rnacentral:rRNA from 1 species